UUCCGGUUGAUCCUGCCGGACCUGACUGCUAUCGGAUUGAUACUAAGCCAUGCGAGUCAUUGUAGCAAUACAAGGCAUACGGCUCAGUAACGCGUAGUCAACCUAACCUAUGGACGGGAAUAACCUCGGGAAACUGAGAAUAAUGCCCGAUAGAACAUUAUACCUGGAAUGGUUUAUGUUCCAAAUGAUUUAUCGCCGUAGGAUGGGACUGCGGCCUAUCAGUUUGUUGGUGAGGUAAUGGCCCACCAAGACUAUUACAGGUACGGGCUCUGAGAGGAGUAGCCCGGAGAUGGGUACUGAGACACGGACCCAGGCCCUAUGGGGCGCAGCAGGCGAGAAAACUUUGCAAUGUGCGAAAGCACGACAAGGUUAAUCCGAGUGAUUUCUGCUAAAGAAAUCUUUUGUUAGUCCUAGAAACACUAACGAAUAAGGGGUGGGCAAGUUCUGGUGUCAGCCGCCGCGGUAAAACCAGCACCUCAAGUGGUCAGGAUGAUUAUUGGGCCUAAAGCAUCCGUAGCCGGCUCUGUAAGUUUUCGGUUAAAUCUGUACGCUCAACGUACAGGCUGCCGGGAAUACUGCAUAGCUAGGGAGUGGGAGAAGUAGACGGUACUCGGUAGGAAGUGGUAAAAUGCUUUGAUCUAUCGAUGACCACCUGUGGCGAAGGCGGUCUACUAGAACACGUCCGACGGUGAGGGAUGAAAGCUGGGGGAGCAAACCGGAUUAGAUACCCGGGUAGUCCCAGCUGUAAACUAUGCAAACUCAGUGAUGCAUUGGCUUGUGGCCAAUGCAGUGCUGCAGGGAAGCCGUUAAGUUUGCCGCCUGGGAAGUACGUACGCAAGUAUGAAACUUAAAGGAAUUGGCGGGGGAGCACCACAAGGGGUGAAGCCUGCGGUUCAAUUGGAAUCAACGCCGGA
rnacentral:rRNA from 1 species